rnacentral:rRNA from 1 species
UACGGAGGAGGCAAGCGUAAUCCGGAAUUAUUGGGCGUAAAGCGUCCGUAGGUGGUUGGCCAAGUCUGCUGUCAAAGGGUGGGGCUUAACCUCAUAAAGGCAGUGGAAACUGGCGAGCUAGAGUGCAGUAGGGGUAGGGGGAAUUCCCAGUGUAGCGGUGAAAUGCGUAGAGAUUGGGAAGAACAUCGGUGGCGAAAGCGCCCUGCUGGGCCUGCACUGACACUGAGGGACGAAAUCUAGGGGAGCGAAAGGG